GAACUCUGGUCAACUUUUCUCAAGAAGCUUCCACGACAUUAGGCAGAAAUGCCAAUCAUUUUGCAGAGUAAUGUUUUUACCUGGUCAUAUAAUAGAUUAUUAUUAUUUCGAGUACGCCGAAUCUAAUCAGGAAAUCUCUUCGUACAUGACUAAGUCGUGAAAUUGCAAAGGGUCCAAAUACACUUUGCUGAUUCAAGCGAUACCUCUUAAAAAGAACCGCCACUAGAGCAGUAGCUUCCAGAUUGGUUUUGUUAUGCUUUGACCUAAAAAAUGUCAUAAAGUAAUCUUAUUUGUCAAGUUUCCUGAGCUAUGUGCUGGCUGCACCAAUUACUAUUAAGACUCAUCUUUUAUUGUCUUCUAGGAGAAGUUGACAAAAAGUUAUCAGAAUUUCAAGUUUGAUGAGCCAAGAUAUCAUGCCUCAUAUUAUCUCUCUUUAAUAUUAAAUGACCAUUCAUGGCCUUGGGAGGAAGAUCUAGAAAUACUUGAGACCUUCAGCAUGAAGACUUUUCUCGGUUUGCACCUACAAUGCUCUCGAGAGCAUUCUUAGAGUGUUACAUAGCAGAGAAUAUAGAGCAUGAUGAAGCAGAGUCAAUUGUUCAUCAUGUUGAAGAUGUUUUAAUGGUUCUCAUCCUAUAUGCAAGCCUGUGCUCCAAUCCAGCUCAUGACAAGCAGACUCGUCACACUCGACGAGGGUGUAAGUUACGUCUACUCAACUGAAGACCUAAACUCAAAUGAUGAGAAUUCUGCAUUGCUUCACAUUAUUCAGCUUUUGGCUUUUAUUGCAUGGCAUGAAGCCUUCCACCAGCUCAGAACAGUUGAGCAACUUGGUUAUGUCUGUUUGGUCACACAUCGAGAUGACCUCGGUGUGCAUGGCCUGCAGUUCAUUGUUCUGUCUGCUGUGAAGGUAUACCACAAGGUUCUCUGUGUUUUGACUGCCUCAUCACCUUUAACUCCUUCACUUUGUUAAUCUUAACGGGGUCCAAGGUACAUCGACACACGGGUCCAGAGCUUUCUUGAGUCUUUCGAAAGUAAACUCCUUAAGAUGAGUGAGGUUGAUUUCAAGAGCCAUUUAAACACACUAAUUGAAUCAAAGAUGGAGAAGGACAAGAAUUUGUGGGAAGAAUCUGAGCGUCACUGGGAAGAGAUAACUAAUAGAACUUUCCUAUUUGAUCGAAUAGAAACUGAGGUUGCAACAUUAAGGAAGCUGGCAAAACAAGAAUUGAUAGCUUUCUUCAAUGAGCACAUACGAAUUGGAGCGCAGGAAGGUGCUUAGUGUACGAGUUUAUGGGAGCAAGCAUACAUCAAAUUUUGAAGUGGAUAACAAUGAAGCAAUUGGGCCAAACACAAUACGAAUAGAUAACAUUUUCAGCUUUAGGGCAUCGCAACCUCUUUACGGUUCACACAGAAGAGGGUAUGAACAUAUGGAAGUUCACAGCAGUUCUAAACAAGCUAGAAAUGGGUAUGAACAUAUGGAAGUUCACAGCAGUUCUAAACAAGCUAGAAAUGAGGAUCUUGGAUAAUGUACUCUUGAAACAUUUCUCCAAAAUCUAUACUACCACGCCACACUUGCCCUGUGGCAUUUGUACCUUAUAGCGUUUUAGUGUUUGGUGUGUGUAAAUGACAAAAGGUAUUACUUGGGAUUUUACUAGAUAACGGAACACAAGAAUAGGUGUUUGCUCCAGCUCAAUGUUCCUAACCGAGUGAGCAAAACUGUUGGUGUUGGAGUUAGGGUGUAAUGCAUAUACGGAUCUAUACCAUUGAGAGU